UACGUAGGGUGCGAGCGUUGUCCGGAAUUAUUGGGAGUAAAGAGCUCGUAGGCGGUCUGUCGCGUCGGUCGUGAAAACUUGGGGCUUAACCCUGAGCUUGCGGUCGAUACGGGCAUGACUGGAGUUCGGCAGGGGAGACUGGAAUUCCUGGUGUAGCGGUGAAAUGCGCAGAUAUCAGGAGGAACACCGGUGGCGAAGGCGGGUCUCUGGACAGUUCCUGACACUGAGGCACGAAGGCCAGGGGAGCAAACGGG
rnacentral:rRNA from 1 species